rnacentral:rRNA from 1 species
AUGCAAGUCGAACGCGAACGUUUCCUUCGGGAAACUAGUAGAGUGGCGCACGGGUGAGUAACGCGUAAGUAACCUGUCCUCGCAUCUGGGAUAACCCACCGAAAGGUGUGCUAAUACCGGAUACGUCUACGAUAAAAUCAUUUUUGUAGAGAAAGGUGGCCUCUGAUUCAAGCUACUGUGCAGGGAGGGGCUUGCGUACCAUUAGCUAGUUGGUAGGGUAACGGCUUACCAAGGCCAUGAUGGUUAGCGGGUCUGAGAGGAUGAUCCGCCACACUGGAACUGAAACACGGACCAGACUCCUACGGGAGGCAGCAGUGAGGAAUAUUGCGCAAUGGGGGCAACCCUGACGCAGCGACGCCGCGUGGACGAUGAAGGCCUUCGGGUUGUAAAAUCCUGUCAGAUGGGAAGAAGUGCAUCAUAUUUAACACAUGUGGUGUUUGACGGUACCAUCAAAGGAAGCACCGGCUAACUCCGUGCCAGCAGCCGCGGUAAUACGGAGGGUGCAAGCGUUGUUCGGAAUUACUGGGCGUAAAGCGCGCGUAGGCGGUAAUUUAAGUCAGAUGUGAAAGUCCAUGGCUCAACCAUGGAAGUGCAUUUGAAACUGGGUUACUUGAGUACUGGAGGGGGUAGUGGAAUUCCCGGUGUAGAGGUGAAAUUCGUAGAUAUCGGGGAGGAAUACCGGGUGGGCGAAGGCGACUACCUGGCCAGAUACUGACGCUGAGGUGCGAAA